rnacentral:ncRNA from 2 species
UUCUUAUCAAGAGUGGUGGAGGGACUGGCCCUAUGAAACCCGGCAACCGGUAUGUGUUCCAUUUAACAUAUACAAUGGUGCCAAAUCCUGCAGCUAUAUUAGCUGACAGAUAAGAG